rnacentral:rRNA from 1 species
AGUGAACGCUGGCGGCAGGCCUAAUACAUGCAAGUCGAACGGCAGCACAGCAGAGCUUGCUCUGUGGGUGGCGAGUGGCGGACGGGUGAGGAAUACAUGGGAAUCUGCCCAGUCGUGGGGGAUAACGUAGGGAAACUUACGCUAAUACCGCAUGCGCCCUUCGGGGGAAAGCCGGGGACCGUAAGGCCUGGCGCGAUUGGAUGAGCCCAUGUCGGAUUAGCUAGUUGGCGGGUAAAGGCCCACCAAGGCGACGAUCCGUAGCUGGUCUGAGAGGAUGAUCAGCCACACUGGAACUGAGACACGGUCCAGACUCCUACGGGAGGCAGCAGUAGGGAAUAUUGGACAAUGGGCGCAAGCCUGAUCCAGCCAUGCCGCGUGAGUGAAGAAGGCCCUCGGGUUGUAAAGCUCUUUUGUCCGGAAAGAAAGGCGCCGGGUUAAUACCCUGGUGUCCUGACGGUACCGGAAGAAUAAGCACCGGCUAACUUCGUGCCAGCAGCCGCGGUAAUC